UGGUGCUACAGGGCUGUUCUUAUUGCUUAUCAGAGCUCUGCCAUUUAUGAGUAUCAGUUUAUGCGUGCUGCAAAGGCUCAUUCAUCAGUUCUGUGUUCUCAUCCCUAGUGGUCGUUCCAGCUCCUGCGGAAUUUCUAAGCAUCUUUUUACAAAAGAAUCCAUCCUGACUUGAGGCCUAAGGACGCAUCUACUAACAACGUGCAUCCAAGACUGAAAAU
rnacentral:lncRNA from 1 species